GACGAACGCUGGCGGCGUGCCUAAUACAUGCAAGUUGAGCGCUGAAGGUUGGUACUUGUACCGACUGGAUGAGCAGCGAACGGGUGAGUAACGCGUGGGGAAUCUGCCUUUGAGCGGGGGACAACAUUUGGAAACGAAUGCUAAUACCGCAUAAAAACUUUAAACACAAGUUUUAAGUUUGAAAGAUGCAAUUGCAUCACUCAAAGAUGAUCCCGCGUUGUAUUAGCUAGUUGGUGAGGUAAAGGCUCACCAAGGCGAUGAUACAUAGCCGACCUGAGAGGGUGAUCGGCCACAUUGGGACUGAGACACGGCCCAAACUCCUACGGGAGGCAGCAGUAGGGAAUCUUCGGCAAUGGACGAAAGUCUGACCGAGCAACGCCGAGUGAGUGAAGAAGGUUUUCGGAUCGUAAAACUCUGUUGGUAGAGAAGAACGUUGGUGAGAGUGGAAAGCUCAUCAAGUGACGGUAACUACCCAGAAAGGGACGGCUAACUACGUG
rnacentral:rRNA from 1 species